GCAAGUCGAACGAGAGUUACUUCGGUAACUCUAGUGGCGAACGGGUGAGUAAUACGUAGGUAAUCAACCCUAAAGACGAGGAUACCAUUUGGAAACGAAUGUUAAUACUGGAUAGGACAUCAUAAACCGCAUGGUUAGAUGUUUAAAGGAGCAAUCCACUUUGGGACGAGCCUGCGGCGCAUUAGCUAGUUGGUAAGGUAAUGGCUUACCAAGGCCACGAUGCGUAGCCGGACUGAGAGGUUGAAC
rnacentral:rRNA from 1 species